rnacentral:lncRNA from 1 species
AAUAGUGAUAACGAGGAAGAUGAGUCUGUUGGGGAAGAGUCUGUUGGGGAAGAGUGGAGAAAAUUCGGAGCUGCAGAUUCAUUCAAGAUUCCAGAUAUUUCUCAGCUCAGUUAAUUAUUCCUCUUGUCAUUUUUUUGGCUAGUGUCUGGAAAUCCUUCUUUUCUUUAUAUAUUGAUGAAUUUCUAUCUUACAUUUUUUUUUUGUAUUCUAUUUAGUAUAUGUUAUUCUUAGAUUGUACUUGAUUUUUUUUAAUUUUUUUUUUUGUUUUGGACCUAGGGAAUUCACAUCCAUAUAACAAAAUAUAAUUGAUCUAUAUCUACUUUUUUGAGGAA